GUGGGGAAUAUUGGACAAUGGGCGAAAGCCUGAUCCAGCAAUGUCGCGUGAGUGAAGAAGGCCUUCGGGUUGUAAAGCUCUUUUACCCGGGAAGAUAAUGACUGUACCGGGAGAAUAAGCCCCGGCUAACUCCGUGCCAGCAGCCGCGGUAAUACGGAGGGGGCUAGCGUUGUUCGGAAUUACUGGGCGUAAAGCGCACGUAGGCGGUCUUUUAAGUCAGAGGUGAAAGCCCGGGGCUCAACUCCGGAAUUGCCUUUGAAACUGGGAGACUUGAACACGGGAGAGGUGAGUGGAAUUCCGAGUGUAGAGGUGAAAUUCGUAGAUAUUCGGAGGAACACCAGUGGCGAAGGCGGCUCACUGGACCGUUGUUGACGCUGAGGUGCGAAAGCGUGGGGAGCAAACAGGAUUAGAUACCCGAGUAGUCC
rnacentral:rRNA from 1 species